rnacentral:tRNA from 2 species
GGAGACGUCGCAUAGUCCGGCCUAGUGCACCACCCUGCUAAGGUGGAGUUCCCUUUAUGGGAACCGAGAGUUCAAAUCUCUCCGUCUCCGCCA